GGCUUCAUAGCUCAGUUGGUUGGACCAUCGCACCUGUAUCGCGAGGUCAUGGGUUCAAACCUCAUUGAAGUCC
rnacentral:tRNA from 1 species